rfam:Clavispora lusitaniae ATCC 42720 cont1.27, whole genome shotgun sequence.
AUUACAUGAUGAUUACUUAGAUGACGAGUCAGAAUCGGGAUUCCCGUUGACGACAACCUUUUUUAAUUACCAUUCAUGCCUUUCUGAGU